AAAAAGGGCUUCUGCCGUGCGUGGCACGGGGGGGCUGCGCGCCACCCCUGCGGAAUCGACAUCAAGAGAUUUCGGAAGCACAAUUUUUGCAAGACAGGGCUGCUGGUAACCGCUCGUUCCAGCACCCUC